ACGGGAUGUAUUGAGGCCAUCGGAUUUGAUGACGAAAUCCCAAUGGUCAUGGUUAACGACCAGCUGCUUCAGUGCGACCGUCAGACAAUUGAAGCAAUGUUUCCUGACAAAGAAAUCCCAAGAGGCGAUGUUUUGAUGUCCAUGUUUUGAUGUCCAUCCCACAGGGGAAAACAUACGAUUUUACCACUUUGGUGAACUUGAAAGAAUGAAGGGAAGAUAUGGAUUCUUCAAGGAAGCAAACGUCGUCAAGCAACAACCACGCAAAAUAACACAGAUAAGAAUGAGUGAUAACUUUGAAGAACUAAAAUGUGGUUUCAAAAUGGGAACUGAUAUGACCAAAACCGAUGAUGGAAACUACAAGUUUUCCACAAGGACUCAAGUAAGUACAGUACAUAUAAAUGGAAGAAAAUCAUAUGCAUUAAAUUUCCUUCAAACACAUACUUCAAACUGUCGAAAUUAUAUACAUAAUAAUAUCUUUAAAACAAGCAUACAACACAAAAAGAACUUUCACAAUAGAACCCCUUAAACUAUUGAUAAGGAAU